rnacentral:rRNA from 1 species
CGUAGGGCGCGAGCGUUGUCCGGAAUUAUUGGGCGUAAAGAGCUCGUAGGCGGCUUGUCACGUCGGGUGUGAAAGCCCGGGGCUUAACCCCGGGUCUGCAUUCGAUACGGGCUAGCUAGAGUGUGGUAGGGGAGAUCGGAGUUCCUGGUGUAGCGGUGAAAUGCGCAGAUAUCAGGAGGAACACCGGUGGCGAAGGCGGAUCUCUGGGCCAUUACUGACGCUGAGGAGCGAAAGCGUGGGGAGCGAACAGGAUUAGAUACCCUGGUAGUCCACGCCGUAAACGGUGGGAACUAGGUGUUGGCGACAUUCCACGUCGUCGGUGCCGCAGCUAACGCAUUAAGUUCCCCGCCUGGGGAGUACGGCCGCAAGGCUA